rnacentral:rRNA from 1 species
AUUGAACGCUGGCGGCAUGCCUUACACAUGCAAGUCGAACGGUAACGGGCCUUCGGGUGCUGACGAGUGGCGAACGGGUGAGUAAUACAUCGGAACGUGCCCGAUCGUGGGGGAUAACGAGGCGAAAGCUUUGCUAAUACCGCAUACGAUCUACGGAUGAAAGCAGGGGACCACAAGGCCUUGCGCGGACGGAGCGGCCGAUGGCAGAUUAGGUAGUUGGUGGGAUAAAAGCUUACCAAGCCGACGAUCUGUAGCUGGUCUGAGAGGAUGAUCAGCCACACUGGGACUGAGACACGGCCCAGACUCCUACGGGAGGCAGCAGUGGGGAAUUUUGGACAAUGGGCGCAAGCCUGAUCCAGCCAUGCCGCGUGCAGGAUGAAGGCCUUCGGGUUGUAAACUGCUUUUGUACGGAACGAAAAGCCUUCUUUUAAUACAGGAGGGUCAUGACGGUACCGUAAGAAUAAGCACCGGCUAACUACGUG